UCCCGCAUUCCUUUCGACUCCGACGUUGUCAUACACAGGACUGCACAAAUCACCUCCGUGUCUAAUCUCGUUAGCACUCCCCCCACCCCACCUUCUUUUUUUCCUUCUUGUCUGGCUUGUCCCUUUGCUUUUUUCCUCCCAACUAACUGCGCUUUUCGUGCAAGCCCAUCUAAGCGUGUAUCGUCCUCCAAACUUCCUGACACUGUAUAACAGUCGCAUCAAAGCUUAAGAGAACGCACCCACUCAGCAAUUUUUCUUCGUUUUUUCUUUAUAUCGCCUGAAGCAAAAGUUAUUGCACGAAUAUCAGAAAACUUCAGGCUUUUCUUCCCACUUGGCCAUGCAUGUAAGAAAAACGGCUAGAAUAUUCCUCCCUUCUUUUACAAGCUCUCUCUCUCUCUUUUCUAACAGCGUUGCAUACAGUAAGUCCAUCAUGGUAUGAGAGACACAAAAGAGGAUUUUCGACGCAAAGGGAAAUGUGUCCACGAUAGAUUAGACGGCUAUUGAAUGAUCUAGAGGCGACGAUUCGGAAUGCUGCUGGUGCCCUUGUUUAACGUUGUUGCCGCCGUCGGGAGGCUGAGGUGGGCCGCCGUUUCUGCUGGCUUUGGGCCGGUGAACGAUGCCAGUGCGGCCGAUAUCCGACAGCGUCGAUUCCGGUGUCACGAAUGGCUUAGUCGUCCAACUAGCAGACGAAACGCUCAUCUGAUCCUUGGGAUUAUACUGCAGACCGCUCCAUAGAUUGGACUGAUCCACCAGUCGCAGUAGAGGCACAGACUUUUUUGGCACUGGAUGACUUGCAUCGUUUAGAAAACAAAACAAAAACAAAACAAAAAGAAUUAUUUUUUGUAAGAUUAUUAUUUCGCUAACGUGAUGAAUUUUUAUACCUAGGUCUUUGAUGUUGUUUGUCCAGCAAUCCACCACGUUGCGAUAGCUCUCCGGUAAUUGGUGAGAAUUCCGUAGAAGACGAGUAAUACGAAGCCUCUUUGCUGAUGGCGCCUGUUUAUUUGAUUUUUGUCACGAGAUGGUUAUCUUUUGGCCGAUCAUACACACACGCUUGUCAGAGACGAAA